UACGGGGGGAGCAAGCGUUGUUCGGAUUUACUGGGCGUAAAGGGCGCGUAGGCGGUCAGCACAAGUCAGUUGUGAAAUCUCCGGGCUUAACUCGGAAAGGUCAACAGAUACUGUGCGACUAGAGUGCGGAAGGGGCAACUGGAAUUCUCGGUGUAGCGGUGAAAUGCGUAGAUAUCGAGAGGAACACCUGCGGCGAAGGCGGGUUGCUGGGCCGACACUGACGCUGAUGCGCGAAAGCCAGGGGAGCGAACGGG
rnacentral:rRNA from 1 species